GCCGGGCAUGGUGGCUCAUGCCUGUAAUCCCAGCACUUUGGGAGGCCGAGGCCGGUGGAUCACCUGAGGUCAGGAGUUCGAGACCAGCCUGACCAACAUGGUGAAACCCCGUCUCUA
ensembl:misc_RNA Metazoa_SRP Metazoan signal recognition particle RNA